AAGUCGUAACAAGGUUUCCGUAGGUGAACCUGCGGAAGGAUCAUUAAUGAAAUGUUAGGACGCUCUUUUUAGAGGUCCGACCAACUCAUUUUACCUUUCACACUGUGCACAUCACUACUUUUUUACACCCAUUUUUAAACACUACAAAGUCUAAGAAUGUAAAACAGUCUCUUAACUGAGCAUAAACAUAAACAAAACUUUCGGCAACGGAUCUCUUGGCUCUC
rnacentral:misc_RNA from 1 species